rnacentral:lncRNA from 1 species
AAUGUGAUUUUAGACACGGAUUUCUAUCAUUGGUUUUCUAUCCCUCGCGGUAGUGUUUUCAAAAUAAUGGUUUCCGUGUAGGAAACGUUUUUAAAUAGUUUUCUCGAGAUUUUUUGCAGAAUUAGAGUUUUAAAAAGAAAGUCUUCGUGUGGGAGACAUUUUCAACAUCUAUAAAUGAUCGUGAAAUUGAAGUGGAAUAGUUGUGACUAAGGACGGUUAGCUAUAUGAUGUGAAACUUGUGAAAUAAAAAUCUUUGUGACUCGUGAUUAUUAUUUGUGUGAG